ensembl:lncRNA
UAAAUAUAUUCCUUUGCUUUCCAUUUGUUCCUUCACUCUUGGCAAGAGAAAUGCAGUGAAGGAGCAGAGAAGUGCUGUGGAGAAGUUCUGCUCAGUUGUUAUCCAAGUCCCUUGGCACAAGGUAUACAAAAAACUCCAGAGAAGCCAAACCCAGAGCUAUCUGUCAGCAGGCUCUGAGUAUCAGUGGUCUGUAGCUGCCUGCAGAUUCUCCAUUUCCCCCACUCGCUCAUCAUCCCCUGCAAUAAUUGCUUUGCCAAUAAGAAAGGAGUUGAUGGGACCAUAUCUAAAACAAAAAGUCACUGUUUUUCUUCUGGCAAGUUCUUUUCUUCUCAAGGCUGAACAAGCCCAGCUGCCAUGCCUGUCUUCAUAGAAGAGUGCUCCAGCCCUCUAAUCUUCAUGGCUCUCCUCUGGACUGGCUCCCACAGCUCCACAGUCUUCUUUUGCUGGGUGCCCCAAGCCUGAAUGCUGUACACCAGAUGGGCCUCACAAGGACAGAGCAGAGGUGCAGGAUCUCUCUGCUAUUGAUGCAGCCCAGAACAUGGUUGGCCUUCUCAGCUGCAAGUGCAUACAGCUGGGUUCCUGUACAGCUUCUCAUUCCACAAGUCCUUUUCUGCAGGCCUGCUGCCAAAGAGUUCAUCUCC